CGUAGGGUGCGUAGCGUUAAUCGGAAUUACUGGGCGUAAAGCGUGCGCAGGCGGUUUGUUAAGAUAGGCGUGAAAUCCCCGGGCUCAACCUGGGAACUGCGCUUAUGACUGGCAAGCUAGAGUACGGCAGAGGGGGGUGGAAUUCCACGUGUAGCAGUGAAAUGCGUAGAGAUGUGGAGGAACACCAAUGGCGAAGGCAGCCCCCUGGGUCGAUACUGACGCUCAUGCACGAAAGCGUGGGUAGCAAACAGGAUUAGAUACCCUGGUAGUCCACGCCCUAAACGAUGUCAACUAGGUGUUGGGAGGGUAAAACCUUUUAGUACCGGAGCUAACGCGUGAAGUUGACCGCCUGGGGAGUACGGCCGCAAGGUUAA
rnacentral:rRNA from 1 species